AGGAAAGCAGGGGAUCGUCAAGACCUUGCGUUAAUGGAGCGGCCGAUAUCUGAUUAGCUAGUUGGUGGGGUAAAGGCCCACCAAGGCUUCGAUCAGUAGCUGGUCUGAGAGGACGACCAGCCACACUGGAACUGAGACACGGUCCAGACUCCUACGGGAGGCAGCAGUGGGGAAUUUUGGACAAUGGGCGCAAGCCUGAUCCAGCCAUUCCGCGUGAGUGAAGAAGGCCUUCGGGUUGUAAAGCUCUUUCGCAAGGGAAGAAAACUUACCUUCUAAUAAAGGGUGAGGCUGACGGUACCUUGAUAAGAAGCGCCGGCUAACUACGUGCCAGCAGCCGCGGUAAUACGUAGGGUGCGAGCGUUAAUCGGAAUUACUGGGCGUAAAGCGUGCGCAGGCGGUUUUGUAAGUCAGAUGUGAAAGCCCCGGGCUCAACCUGGGAACUGCGUUUGAAACUACAAGGCU
rnacentral:rRNA from 1 species